AUUGAACGCUGGCGGCAGGCCUAACACAUGCAAGUCGAGCGGAUGAAGGGAGCUUGCUCCUGGAUUCAGCGGCGGACGGGUGAGGAAUGCCUAGGAAUCUGCCUGUUAGUGGGGGAUAACGUCCGGAAACGGGCGCUAAUACCGCAUACGUCCUGAGGGAGAAAGUGGGGGAUCUUCGGACCUCACGCUAUCAGAUGAGCCUAGGUCGGAUUAGCUAGUUGGUGGGGUAAAGGCCUACCUAGGCGACGAUCCGUAACUGGUCUGAGAGGAUGAUCAGUCACACUGGAACUGAGACACGGUCCAGACUCCUACGGGAGGCAGCAGUGGGGAAUAUUGGACAAUGGGCGAAAGCCUGAUCCAGCCAUGCCGCGUGUGUGAAGAAGGUCUUCGGAUUGUAAAGCACUUUCAGUUGGGAGGAAGGGCAGUAAGUUAAUACCUUGCUGUUUUGACGUUACCAACAGAAUAAGCACCGGCUAACUUCGUG
rnacentral:rRNA from 1 species